GCCCUGUGAUGAUAAAAAGGCAAAUAUGAGCGUAUUGGCUGGGAUCUUGUGUUCUCUUGCUCUCUGAUUGGUGGGUAAUCUUGGUAGAGCAGUGGAGAUUUGCUGCGCUGCUGUAAGGGCCCACCCAUAUCAAUGCCAGCUGUCUUUCAUAAUACAAUUCUCCUUUAGAAAUGGACAUUUGUGGCUGAUUUGGCAGCUUAUAGUGUGUGUGUGUGUGUGUGUCCCUGAGUGUGUGUAAAUGUAUCAGUUAGCAAAGAGUCACAUCUCCUAAUGGGCCAACCAGCUGUGAACCUUUUCUUUGGUAAUCUGAGGGCA